UUUCACAGCCAUUGCUUAAUUUAGGAUAAUGGAUGUUGACAUUAUUUAGUUUUGGAUAGUGGAUGUCGACUUUGCUUCCUUGCUCCUAGGUUCCUGGCUUCUCAUCACUCUAGCAAGCUCUGCAUGAGGUCCAGCUCAGCAGCAGAUUAGAACCAGAGAGCAAGAAAGCAUAGAAAAACCACACUUUGAGCCUACAUUUUCUGUAUUUUCUUCACAUUUAUACUUUUUUAAAAGUACAUAUUUACUAAAUGGAUAUAGUAGAAAUAAAUGUUAAUGGGCUAAAGCUUCAACUUAUUAUAAAAAGCUGAUGUAUUUUUUACCAUUUAUCCAUAGCGGAUGCAUGUUAUCAUAUAAAUUAGAAGAAUUGAAGGCAACUAGCAUGUGUAAGGAUUUUCAGUGCCCUGACCCUUAAUUAGGAAACUGGUCACUUGAAAGUUUUCUUUGCACUUUGUAUUUCUUUUGUCUUAAAAAGUAAAGGAAUCCUUAAAACAAUAAGGACUAUGAAUUAACAGGCAAAAGUAAAUUGCUAUUUUAUAGCAUCAUUAUAUGCAAAUUAAUUUUAGUUGCUCAUUUAUCUUUUCCCUUCUUAUUUGUCUUAUAGCUUGCAAUGCAUAUAAAUGCUCAUGUAAAUGUUUUAUAUUUGGGAAUCUGUAAAAUAACUGACAUUAAUUUUUCACUACUGACAUUAUUACUAAUAUACAUAGUUGAUUAUGGUUUAUUCAUAAGAUUGUUUACUUGCCUCCAUGUAAUUUGAGAGUCUGAUAAUUUACUCCAUUUGUAUGAAAACUGAUUUCACUGUGCCUAUGAAGUCCUCCAGAAUUAGAAAACAAUGCAUAUUCUGUUGACUUACAUAACAAGUUUAAGUGUGUUUUAUGACACUCAAUGCCCUUAUGUCCUAGAGAUUGUAUUUUGUAAUGAAUGCAUGAUCUUGAGCCUUAACUCCUGUAUCUACUUCUGCUCCUCAAAAACUUUGUAACUUUACCAACAUGCCUUGAAAAAUCACCUAAGUAAAUUAGUGUCUGAAAGCUGCUGUAUAUUGGAGCAAUGAUCAAAAAUGCAACACUAAACCAAGAUAUGGAAACAUUUGAAGUUGCAGGAAUCAAAAUGCAGGGUAAUUCUCCAGAGAAUAUGAGAAGACAAGGCAGCUAAAAUGAACCUACUUUAUAACUGGAGAAAAUGCUUCAUUUAGAAACUCUGUUCCUACCUUGCUGAAGAAUUUUCUAUAAUUACUGUUAGAUUUGUAUUCUCCAAUAUUUACUGCUCAAUUUUUUGGUUUUUUGCUUAAACAAUAAAUAUGCUAAUGUGAAAAG
rnacentral:lncRNA from 1 species